CUUGGUAGUCCACGCCGUAAACGUUGGGAACUAGGUGUGGGUCACAUUCCACGUGGUCCGCGCCGCAGCUAACGCAUUAAGUUCCCCGCCUGGGGAGUACGGCCGCAAGGCUAAAACUCAAAGGAAUUGACGGGGGCCCGCACAAGCAGCGGAGCAUGUGGCUUAAUUCGACGCAACGCGAAGAACCUUACCAAGGCUUGACAUAUACCGGAAACGGCCAGAGAUGGUCGCCCCCUUGUGGUCGGUAUACAGGUGGUGCAUGGUUGUCGUCAGCUCGUGUCGUGAGAUGUUGGGUUAAGUCCCGCAACGAGCGCAACCCUCGUUCUGUGUUGCCAGCGAGUAAUGUCGGGGACUCACAGGAGACUGCCGGGGUCAACUCGGAGGAAGGUGGGGACGACGUCAAAUCAUCAUGCCCCUUAUGUCUUGGGCUGCACACGUGCUACAAUGGCCGGUACAAUGAGCUGCGAUACCGCGAGGUGGAGCGAAUCUCAAAAAGCCGGUCUCAGUUCGGAUUGGGGUCUGCAACUCGACCCCAUGAAGUCGGAGUUGCUAGUAAUCGCAGAUCAGCAUUGAUGCGGUGAAUACGUUCCCGGGCCUUGUACACACCGCCUAAAAGGGACGAAAGUCGGUAACACC
rnacentral:rRNA from 1 species